AUCAUCACAUAAACAACAGCCUCUGCCCUCCUCACCUGAGGGCAAACAAACUAAAUUCAGAGAAAAUUCGUAUGAUUUUUUUAAAAAUUUCAGAUGGGUGUCAAAUUUGAAAACUUGAAUAUUCCCGUUAAUCUUGACAUAACUGCGAUUAUGAAACCCACAAUUGGAUUGUAAGUUUGGACAUAUUUUUCAUAUUUACUUUUUAGCUGUUAAAUCGUUUAAGGUAGUGUAACUCAAUUACCUUGAACAAGUAAAAAAUGAUUGCGUCUUUGUAGCAAUUGAAAAAAGAAAAACAAAAAGCAUAAAACAGAUGAACAAUGUUUUGGAUUUUAUCAUGCAUAGGUUUGUUUGUUUUGAGUCGGGGCAAUUUUACGCAAAGUCCUCAUCUCAUUAGAGCACAAUCAGACCUAACUUGUCAGAUAUGCAAUCAGCACUACAGUAAACAGAGCCGCUUUCCAGUGUCAUACCACUUCAAUUAUUACACGUGCGGAAAGGAAUGCUGAACUUGGAAAGUUAACUAUGUUGCCGUUUUCCACUGUGAGAACAUCAAGCUGACCUGACGUGAAGAAUACUGAGCACGAGAACGACCCUUAACAGUAACACUUUAACCAGAUGGAAUCACUUAUGACUGAACAUCAGGGGAAAGUAUGUUUGGAGAAACAUUGAUUUUCAUUAUUGAUUGCUAUAAACGGGAAAUCUCAGUGAUGUGAUGAUAUCUUUUCAAAGCCAUGCGAUUACCUAAAAACCCAAGGAAGCGUGGUUACAAAAUCACAAAACACCAGGGAAUGCAAGAUGCGUAAAAAAGAAAGAAAGAAAGAAAGAAAGAAAGAAAGAAAGAAAGAAAGAAAGAAAGAAAGAAAGAAAGAAAGAAAGAAAGAAAGAAAGAAAGAAAGAAAGAAAGACGGAAGACGUGGUAAGACUCCAGCUCUCCUUUCUUUUAGGCUGAAAUGAUUGGUCCUCCGUUCGAGCUUUAUUCAAACCCUGGCGUUCGCAUUCACCGGGUUAACAAAGCAAGACAUUCUCCUCGUGAGAAUCUCAAAAAAAAAAAAAAAAGAAGAAGAACACGUGAAAAAUACGGCACGAACACGUGAAAGAGGGUUCUCGAAGCCACGCAAUUUCGUGAAAUCCAAUCACGUCAAUUCCUAGUGUCUUAUCAUUUCCAUUUUGGUUCCAACCCAAUCUUCUUAUUAAAAAGAAAUUCCAGCGAAUGCUUAUGUGGCCCCGUAAUUAGGUUGAGCAAGAGAGAGAGAGAGAGAAAAAAAGAGAAUCCCGAGAAUUUUUUGUUUUAAAAGUUGGUUCCUCAAAAAAAAAAGCUUGGUACGCACACUGAAGUAUUUGUUUUUGGCAAAUAAUCUUUUGACCUCAAAAGCUACUGUGCUAGCGGGAAGGGCAUUAUCUGAACGCUUCAUGGAAGGAAGAGCUUAAAGGCAAAAAGUUGGUAGGCUAGUAUGCUGAUUUUAAGUCAUGUUUUAUAUUUUACAAAAUAGACAGUGAGGUAAUUGAACACUGACAUGAUAAGAAAAAACGUCCUAGUGAGAGUGUACGUGUCUUGUAAACCACGUGGAAGAGUCAAAAUACUUUCAGGAAGACGGGGGACUCGAGAUUGAAACAUCGUAAUUAAAUAUGUUGUGAGAUCCUACUGAGACAGCCUUGAACAUAUCCUUUCUAUUUUGAUACCGAUCCAGUUUCCUCAUCAAAAGCAUUCCGCUGUUUUUGUGUGGGACCGGAUGUCCAAUUUAUAAAUAAUAACCCGACAGUAAUCAACUGUCCUGAGAAGUUUACUGCAAUGAUGUUUUUGUUCCUGAUUAUUUAAAAAUAAAUUUGAUAUUGCUCUCGGCUAGCAGAAAACUAUCAUGGCAGGACUUGUGGUCGUGAUAAUUAGGUAAUGAAUGUAUGGCUUUGGAUGUCACUAACUGAAUAAAUGAGUUCUUUAUCGCGAUGCCAAGCUAUAUUCUCAUCGAUUGGGUUGUGGUUUUCGGUAUCUGUAUAGCUGGAGGAUAGAUAGCUGCCUUAACACGUCGAUAUUUCCUGAUUAACACGAUACUUACAAGCAGGGGAGCAUGUAAUGUAAAUUAAGAGUUUCGUUGGUGAAAGCUGCCCUCUAAGGCACAAAGGGCCUGCUUGGCUUGCAAGUUGUUUUACAAAUUCUAGUGACUCGACUUCGUAUUUCUGAUGUUAUCAUCUAUACAUGCACGUUAUAAGCAAAAAAAGGCAAACACACAAACGAAUAAACAAACAAACCAAAAACUAAAAUCAAAGCAUAGGACCUUCAAAAAUGUGCUCACGCAGACAACAUCCUAUCCAUCAAACCCAAAACAAGAGUCUUUGAUCAUCGUCUCUUGCCCAAAGCCAAAUUUAAUUACGAUGUAUCAAAUUUAGUCAGGGAGUUUCUGCGAAUAGCUUUAUAAUUUAAACUUAAAAACGAACAAUGCUCACGUUAUCCACAUUGCAUUAAAACGGCACUGAGACAUAGAAAGCAUUGACUGAUUUUUUUUCAGACAGUGAACAUGGCUGACAGACCUGUUGACAGACCUGAUGUUUUCACUCUCUUGUUUAGGGCGCAUCGCUCACACAGUCAGUCAGAUGAUUAAAUCAAUUAUGGAAUUAGAUAGUACGUUGAUUAAAGAAUGUGACAUUGGAAUAAUGGCUGAAUCAAGAAAGCAGCUUAGUUAACCCUUAGUAAAAGAGCCGGGGAUUUAAAAAAAAAAAAAAAAAAACAGAACAAAAUAUAGCCAUUUAAAAAGGCUGUUAACUUUCAAAAGAUCAUUACUUCUGUCAGGACAAGCUAAACAAAUUCCAAAACAGGUUAAUUUAUAUAAAAGCACGGCCUCUUACAGCGUUCAGGAUCUCUCUUUGCUCAUUAUAUAAUUUCUCUAGAGCAUUAUUUUGUGUUGAACAAAUGAUUAGUAUUUUAUGGGAGCUCCGCUUUUAGGUCUGGCUAAAUCUAUAUAUUAUGCCGGACGUUUCAAUUUUCUUUUUCACAUGGGGUUAUUUCUCUAAAUUUGUGAUGAUAGGAUCGAUAAACGUUUUUCAUUCAUGCUUUUAAGUUGCCACGCUUCCUCCAAUAGCACAAACACACGUGCAACUCACAAUCCUUACCAAGAACUUACGCUCAAAACGACAACUUGACAAACUCUCUACACCGGUCAAGUUUGCUUCAUCAACUUCAAGUUGAUGAAUGGUUACGGGUUUCAUUCGCCCGUCGACGCAGGCGGGAGGCCGGGGGGGGGGGUAUU
rnacentral:lncRNA from 1 species